UACGGGGGGGGCAAGCGUUGUUCGGAAUCACUGGGCGUAAAGGGCGCGUAGGCGGCCAACUAAGUCAGACGUGAAAUCCCUCGGCUUAACCGGGGAACUGCGCAUGAUACUGGAUGGCUUGAGUUUGGGAGAGGGAUGCGGAAUUCCAGGUGUAGCGGUGAAAUUCGUAGAUAUCGAGAGGAACACCGGUGGCGAAGGCGGCCUUCUGGACAGUGACUGACGCUGAGACGCGAAAGCGUGGGGAGCAAACAGG
rnacentral:rRNA from 1 species